rnacentral:lncRNA from 1 species
GAGUUAGUCCUAAUAACGUGUACAGAUGAUACCGAUCUUACAUCACUCUGAAAGGUCUAGAAUGUGUCUCCAUGAGUCCAGCAUGCAUUAUAUAUAUGUAUCUAUUGUACUCUACCGAGCCGCACUAUAGUCGGUCGGAUACGACACCUAUUGUGCAACCACUGAUCAGUUGGAUUUACCGAGCUCCACGUGGCCGAGUACGAUUCUACCGAGCCUUAUGAUGGCUGGGUACAUUUUUACCGAGUCCUCUUUGAGGCCGGGUACGAUGUGAUGAUGAUGAUGCCC